rnacentral:rRNA from 1 species
CUUGCUUCUCUUGAGAGCGGCGGACGGGUGAGUAAUGCCUAGGAAUCUGCCUGGUAGUGGGGGAUAACGUCCGGAAACGGACGCUAAUACCGCAUACGUCCUACGGGAGAAAGCAGGGGACCUUCGGGCCUUGCGCUAUCAGAUGAGCCUAGGUCGGAUUAGCUAGUUGGUGGGGUAAUGGCUCACCAAGGCGACGAUCCGUAACUGGUCUGAGAGGAUGAUCAGUCACACUGGAACUGAGACACGGUCCAGACUCCUACGGGAGGCAGCAGUGGGGAAUAUUGGACAAUGGGCGAAAGCCUGAUCCAGCCAUGCCGCGUGUGUGAAGAAGGUCUUCGGAUUGUAAAGCACUUUAAGUUGGGAGGAAGGGCAGUAAAUUAAUACUUUGCUGUUUUGACGUUACCGACAGAAUAAGCACCGGCUAACUCUGUGCCAGCAGCCGCGGUAAUACAGAGGGUGCAAGCGUUAAUCGGAAUUACUGGGCGUAAAGCGCGCGUAGGUGGUUCGUUAAGUUGGAUGUGAAAUCCCCGGGCUCAACCUGGGAACUGCAUUCAAAACUGACGAGCUAGAGUAUGGUAGAGGGUGGUGGAAUUUCCUGUGUAGCGGUGAAAUGCGUAGAUAUAGGAAGGAACACCAGUGGCGAAAGCGACCACCUGGACUGAUACUGGACACUGAGGUGCGAAAGCGUGGGAGCAACAGGAUUAGAUACCCUGGUAGUCCACGCCGUAAACGAUGUCCAACUAGCCGGUUGGGGAGCCUUGAGCUUCUUA